UACGUAGGGGGCAAGCGUUGUUCGGAAUUACUGGGCGUAAAGGGCGCGUAGGCGGCUUGGCAAGUCGGGAGUGAAAGGCCUGGGCUCAACCGAGGAACUGCUUUCGAGACUGCCAAGCUAGAGUGCGGAAGGGGCAUCUGGAAUUCCCAGUGUAGCGGUGAAAUGCGUGGAUAUUGGGAAGAACACCUGAGGCGAAGGCGGGAUGCUGGGCCGACACUGACGCUGAGGCGCGAAAGCCAGGGGAGCAAACGGG
rnacentral:rRNA from 1 species